AUCGUAAUAUAAAAUACCUCCGGUGACAGUGUUAAUUCCUGGUUGAACUAGAUUUGAACCUGUACUAGGGUUAACUUGAGAAUCUACACUUGUCCCUCUUGCUGCGCUUGCAUUUGAAAAAAUCUAGCCCUAUCUGUAGGUUGUGUUUUUAUGUGCCUAGUCAAACUACCUGUGCCGCUACGGUCUUCAGUAAAUUUAUGAACCAGUAAUUUCCCACAAGUUUUACACUUAGCCUUAUCUAGUUCUCUUACUUGAGUAAAAAAAUUCCAAACUAAUGAUGUUUCUUGAUGUUUAGCAUGUUGACAAGUUUUACACUUACCCUUAUUUAGUUCUCUUACUUGAGUAAAAAAAAUUCCAAACUAAUGUUGUUUCUGUACGUUUAGUAGGUUGUCUACUAAAAGUUAGAGUUUCUACAAGUGGGUGUGCCGGUGCAUUACUUGAGUUAUAAACUAGAUUAGUAUGUGGAUCAUCUAAAUCUGGUGCUGGGGUUUCAUCAUCAUCAUUUUCCUCUAAUAUAGGUUCAUUAGGACAAAGAACAUUCAUAAUUUCAUUAUCUAAUCUAUCACCUACUGCAACAUCAUGUAGAAAUUCACUAUCGGNN
rnacentral:lncRNA from 1 species